rnacentral:rRNA from 1 species
AACGAGCGCUGGCGGCAUGCCUAACACAUGCAAGUCGAACGAGAUCUUCGGGUCUAGUGGCGCACGGGUGCGUAACGCGUGGGAAUCUGCCCUUUGGUUCGGAAUAACAGUUGGAAACGACUGCUAAUACCGGAUGAUGACGAAAGUCCAAAGAUUUAUCGCCAGAGGAUGAGCCCGCGUAGGAUUAGCUAGUUGGUGUGGUAAAGGCGCACCAAGGCGACGAUCCUUAGCUGGUCUGAGAGGAUGAUCAGCCACACUGGGACUGAGACACGGCCCAAACGCCUACGGGAGGCAGCAGUGGGGAAUAUUGGACAAUGGGCGAAAGCCUGAUCCAGCAAUGCCGCGUGAGUGAUGAAGGCCUUAGGGUUGUAAAGCUCUUUUACCCGGGAUGAUAAUGACAGUACCGGGAGAAUAAGCUCCGGCUAACUCCGUGCCAGCCGCCGCAGUAA